AGUGAACGCUGGCGGUAGGCCUAACACAUGCAAGUCGAACGGCAGCACAGUAAGAGCUUGCUCUUACGGGUGGCGAGUGGCGGACGGGUGAGGAAUACAUCGGAAUCUACUUUUUCGUGGGGGAUAACGUAGGGAAACUUACGCUAAUACCGCAUACGACCUACGGGUGAAAGCAGGGGAUCUUCGGACCUUGCGCGAUUGAAUGAGCCGAUGUCGGAUUAGCUAGUUGGCGGGGUAAAGGCCCACCAAGGCGACGAUCCGUAGCUGGUCUGAGAGGAUGAUCAGCCACACUGGAACUGAGACACGGUCCAGACUCCUACGGGAGGCAGCAGUGGGGAAUAUUGGACAAUGGGCGCAAGCCUGAUCCAGCCAUACCGCGUGGGUGAAGAAGGCCUUCGGGUUGUAAAGCCCUUUUGUUGGGAAAGAAAAGCAGCAGGUUAAUACCCCGCUGUUCUGACGGUACCCAAGAAUAAGCACCGGCUAACUUCAUG
rnacentral:rRNA from 1 species